ACUCCUACGGGAGGCAGCAGUAGGGAAUUUUCCGCAAUGGACGAAAGUCUGACGGAGCAAUGCCGCGUGAGUGAUGAAGGUUUUUCGAAAUCGUAAAGCUCUGUUGUAAGGGAAGAAUAGCAAGAAUAGGAAAUGAUUCUUGUCUGACGGUACCUUACCAGAAAGCCACGGCUAACUACGUGCCAGCAGCCGCGGUAAUACGUAGGUGGCAAGCGUUAUCCGGAAUUAUUGGGCGUAAAAGCGCAUGUAGGCGGCUC
rnacentral:rRNA from 1 species